UACGUAGGUGGCAAGCGUUGUCCGGAUUUACUGGGCGGAAAGGGCGUGCAGGCGGUCUGUUAAGUGCAGGGUGAAAGCUCCCGGCUCAACUGGGAGAGGUCCUUGCAUACUGGCGGACUUGAGGGGGGUAGAGGAAAGUGGAAUUCCCGGUGUAGUGGUGAUAUGCGUAGAUAUCAGGAGGAACACCGGUGGCGAAGGCGGUUCUCUGGGCAUGUCCUGACGCUGAGGAGCGAAAGUGUGGGGAGCGAACAGG
rnacentral:rRNA from 1 species